CUCGGGGCAGGGUGAGAUUCCCUACCGGCGGUAUAGCCCGCGAACCUGCUGUCAAUUAAUGAUGAUUUUGGCAGAAGGCUGAUUCUGUGAGAUUCAGAAGCCGACAGUAUAGUCUGGAUGAGAGAGU
rnacentral:ncRNA from 1 species